CUGUGACCCAGUCGAGUUGAAAUGCCAAAUAGCCAUCAGAGACCCACUCUUGGACUGUUCUGUUAAAACCUUUUCAGAUAUUCAAGAAGAAUUUCUCAGAAACCAGACACUGUGCUCUGCGAAUUAGUAUGUGCCAUUGUCCAGGCAAGGAAGUGGUUGAGAUCCUAAAGGGAUACCAGGUUCUGUGCAUAGAGGGUAAUCAGUGUGCUCAUGAAUGGAUUCUGACUCUCCACGUUUUCAUGCAAGGGUAUUUGAACGUGUGUAUGUGCAGAGGUUUGAUGAGCUAUGUUGCUACCAUUUGCCAUUACUUCCAAAGACCUCAUGUGUCAGAAGAUGAUGAAAACAAGGUCAAUAUCACCCUGUAAGUUACACACAGAAAGUGGC
rnacentral:lncRNA from 10 species